GUGAUCCUGGUGCUUGCACCGGGUGAUCAGUGGCGAACGGGUGAGUAACACGUGAGUAACCUGCCCCAGACUCUGGGAUAACUUCGGGAAAUCGGAGCUAAUACCGGAUACGAGACGCACACGCAUGUGUAGCGUCUGGAAAGAAUUUCGGUCUGGGAUGGACUCGCGGCCUAUCAGCUUGUUGGUGGGGUAAUGGCCUACCAAGGCGACGACGGGUAGCCGGCCUGAGAGGGCGACCGGCCACACUGGGACUGAGACACGGCCCAGACUCCUACGGGAGGCAGCAGUGGGGAAUAUUGCACAAUGGGCGCAAGCCUGAUGCAGCGACGCCGCGUGGGGGAUGAAGGCCUUCGGGUUGUAAACCCCUUUCAGCAGGGAAGAAGCGAGAGUGACGGUACCUGCAGAAGAAGCGCCGGCUAACUACGUGCCAGCAGCCGCGGUAAUACGUAGGGCGCAAGCGUUGUCCGGAAUUAUUGGGCGUAAAGAGCUCGUAGGCGGUUUGUCGCGUCUGCUGUGAAAACCCGAGGCUCAACCUCGGGCCUGCAGUGGGUACGGGCAGACUAGAGUGCGGUAGGGGAGACUGGAAUUCCUGGUGUAGCGGUGGAAUGCGCAGAUAUCAGGAGGAACACCGAUGGCGAAGGCAGGUCUCUGGGCCGCAACUGACGCUGAGGAGCGAAAGCAUGGGGAGCGAACAGGAUUAGAUACCCUGGUAGUCCAUGCCGUAAACGUUGGGCACUAGGUGU
rnacentral:rRNA from 1 species